UCCCUUUCUUCUCUCCAUUUGUUGCCCCUCUCCUCCAGCAUGCCCUUCCCUACCAUGGCGCCUUCUCUCUCUCCUUCCCCUCCCAUGGUGCCCAUCCCUCCAUUCCCAUGACACCCCUCCCCCUCCCUUCUUCAUAUGGCGCCUCAUUACUCUCUAUUCUGGUGUCUGUUCAUCCGGGUUCAGUUUUGCAGAUCUGUAGCAAUCAAGUCCUAAUCCCUUUCUGCUGCUUCAGGAAGAUUGCCAGUGUUGCACGAGCAUGGAAUUGUGGACGUCGUUGUGCACUAUUCUAAGGUGUCGGCUAGCUGGCUAGAGGCGUGUGUGGUCACGGCCUAGUGACUUUUGUUCAUUUUCUUCACUCUAGUGUAUUUUGUCCAUUUCUCUCUAAGUCUCUUGCUCUGGUCUCUUAUGUUGUUGUCAAUCAUUUUGUCUAUGUAUUCAUUCUAAGGUGAACAACUGACUUCUUACUAUUCUUCAACUGUAUUCAUUAUUUUUGUUCCUCAGUUUGUAAGAUUGCCUUCUCAGUCUUAUAUUAGUUUUUGUAAUAGUAUCAGUCCUCAUUUUAUCAUAUUUAGUUAUCAUUUGCAUCUUUCUUCAGUCCUAUCUCUCACGAGUCUUGUCUUUUAGUAGA